rnacentral:rRNA from 1 species
AGAACGAACGCUGGCGGCAUGCCUAAUACAUGCAAGUCGAACGAAGGCUUCGGCCUUAGUGGCGCACGGGUGCGUAACGCGUGGGAAUCUGCCCCUUGGUUCGGAAUAACAGUUGGAAACGACUGCUAAUACCGGAUGAUGACGAAAGUCCAAAGAUUUAUCGCCAAGGGAUGAGCCCGCGUAGGAUUAGCUAGUUGGUGAGGUAAGGCUCA